CAGAUGCAGCGGGAGUUGGCCAGGAGUAUAACUAGAGAACUAACAAAAGAGUGAAGGCGGUGUGCAGAGUAAAGGGACAGGCAGACACGUUUCACGGUUCCUGUGUUCCAAGAACAGAGAUGCUUCAUCAGCUCACACUUCAACCUUCUUUCCCAGCAGCUGCCAGUGCUGCAUAGAGGGAGGACCCACGGCUCCCGCGAGGUGGAGGGGUUGCCUGAGAUCAUAAUGCAAGUUAUUAAUGGGGUUCCUCUCAGGCUCCUCUGGAUUAUUGAGAGGAAACUGGACCCUGAAAGUAGCCCAGUCAUCACAAUGUCCCAUCAAGCCAAAAAUCCUGUGAGAUCCUUCCUCCGGAAUAAGAGCCUGUUUCUCCAGCAAGCUUUCCAACAGGAUUUUAACUCUUCUGUGCAGCUGGCAAAAACAUUGACCCAGCAAAUUGAAAACACACAGUGUUAAGAACAUGGACUCUGAAAUCUGAUGUUGGUGUUUGAAUCCUGGCUCAGUUCCUUUCUGGAUCUGUGAUACUGGGUAAGUCAAUUAACCUCUCUGUACCUAAGUCCCCUAUCUCUAAACUCAGGAUGAUAGCGGUGCCCAUUGUAAGUGUUUGGAGCGUUCAUUACGAUAACAUAGGCAAUAUGUUACAAUAGUGCUUGGCACAUAGUAAGCGGUGAAUAAAUGUUAGCAGUUGUUAUUGUUAAUAUUAUAAUUUGGCAAUGCUUGCUGUAAGUUAGUGUGCCAGGAAUAUAAACCAUUUUAUAUCCCCUCUUUCUCUACAAACCUGCAGAACACCUGCUAAAUGACUGCUAUGGAUCGAAUUCUGUUUCUUGUUCAUAUCCCCUCUUCCCUGCCCUGAAUUCUUCUGUUCAAGUUUUAACCCCCAGUGAGACUGUAUUUGGAGAGAGCACCUUUACGGAAGUGAUUAAGGUUAAAUGAGGUCACAAGAGUGUGGUCUAAUCUGAUAGGCCUGGUGUCCUUAGAAGGGUCAGACAUUUCUGUCUCUCUGCAUGUACAAAGAAGACAGGCCAUGUGGGGAUGCAGAGGGAAGGUGGCCGUUUACUCGCCUGGAACCAGUCCCACUGACACCCUGACCUUGGACUUCUAGCCUCCAGCACUGGGGGAAAUAAAUGUCUGUUGUUUAAGCCCCUCAGGCUGUGGUGUUUUGCCAUGGCACCCUGAACAGACUAAGACGUUCUGGAACGUUUUAACUCGUAUAUUGAAUGAGAGACAACGGGCAGUCCUACGUAGGAUGUCUGAUGCCACCCUCAAUGCCAUUUCUCCCUUGUGGGAAAAUCUUAACUCUGCCAUCUCCCAUGGUGGUGGUGGGGUUGUCUGGAGGAGUCAUAUACCAUUGGGACUACUGUCCACUUGCUUCCCUCAAUAUCACUGUUUUCUACAGAAUUAACUGAGGCUCCAGGCUGACUUCCAGCUAUGUAGAGGUUAGUUAUUGUCCGUGAGGACCUCUUACUCUUACUUCUUUCCUCUUCCAACACAGAUGAUCUUGUAGGAAUAAAAAUCUGGUCCAUUGAGUCACUGCUUCCUUGGUGGCUCAGACGGUAAAGAAUCUGCCUGCAAUGUGGGUUGGGAAGAUCCCCUGGAGGAGGGCAUGGCAACCCACUCCAGUACUCUUGCCUGGAGAAUCCCAUGGACAGAGGCACCUGGGAGGCUACAGUCCUUGGGGUCACAAAGAGUAGGACAUGACUGAGCGAUUAAGCACACAUCUGUCCAUUGAGUCAUUCUGGAUUGGUGUGACCUUAUGGAUCUUUAGCCUUCAUUCCCUUAGAAGCUGGGCCACACUGGCUGGAGUCCUGGCCAUUUCACUUCAAGGCAUGCCCAAAGCCUUCCCAGGGUCUUCUGGUUCCCUGAGACCAUGCUCCUCAUGGCCUCUUCCUCCUGAGGCCCUGCCUCACACCAGCUGGAUUUGUGACCUGUCACAAGAAGCAUGCAUGAAUUUAGUUGUCCUAACUGAAGACUUGGCGAUCACAGGAAAAUUUGGUUGUCACGGGAUGUGAAGCCUUGGAAUUUUCUCUCUUCCCCCUCCCCACUUUUCUCCUUACCUUUCCUUUUUCAAUUCCCUAAGAACUCUUCCUUUCAGUCAGAGAAGACUUUGGCUGGGUGCUAAGACUUAAAGUUCCAGAAAGCCUGGUUAAUAAGAUGCUUGCAGAAGAAAGAGCCUUCCGUUUUAUGGCAGUUUUGCUUAUCAACUUAUUGUAAAUAUCUUAUUGUAAAUAACACUGUAAAAUA